rnacentral:tRNA from 1 species
GUCUUGGUGGGUCAGUGAUAAAAGCACCUCACUCACAAUGAGCAGACCGGGCGGUCGAUCCGCUCUCGAGGCA